rnacentral:rRNA from 1 species
CAGUCGCCGCGGGAAUACAGAGGGUGCGAGCGUUAAUCGGAUUUACUGGGCGUAAAGCGUGCGUAGGCGGCUUCUUAAGUCGGAUGUGAAAUCCCUGAGCUUAACUUAGGAAUUGCAUUCGAUACUGGGAAGCUAGAGUAUGGGAGAGGAUGGUAGAAUUCCAGGUGUAGCGGUGAAAUGCGUAGAGAUCUGGAGGAAUACCGAUGGCGAAGGCAGCCAUCUGGCCUAAUACUGACGCUGAGGUACGAAAGCAUGGGGAGCGAACAGGAUUAGAUACCCCCGUAGUCCCUGUCUCUUAUAA